rnacentral:rRNA from 1 species
AAAACAUGACACCGAAGCUGUGGGAUGUAGAAAUACAUCGGUAGAGGAGCAUUGUGCAGAUGAAGAAGCGGGAUCGGAAGGCACCGUGGAGAAUGCACAAGAGAGAAUGCCGGAAUGAGUAGCGAGAUGGAAGUGAGAAUCUUUCAGGCCGAAUAUCCAAGGUUUCCAGAGUAAAGCUGAUCUGCUCUGGGUAAGUCGGGGCCUAAGGCGAGGGCGAAAGCCGUAGUCGAUGGAGAACUGGUGAUAAUUCCAGUACCUUGUAGGAACAGAACUGUGGGGACGCAGGAAGAUAGGAAGAGCCGGGAAAGGAAAGACCGGUAUAAGCGCAAAGGCGGAGCGGGGGAGAUACCGCGAGAAAGCUGAAGCGUGAUAAGGAGCGAAGGGAAGUAGCGAAGCUUCUGAAUCUAAACUGCCAAGAAAAGCCACUAUAGAUUGUUACAAGCCCGUACCGCAAACCGACACAGGUGGAUGAGGAGAGAAUCCUAAGGCCGACGGGAGAAGCGUUGUUAAGGAACUCGGCAAAAUGACCCCGUAACUUCGGGAAAAGGGGUGCCGUGGGAACACGGCCACAGAAAAAAGGCCCAAGCGACUGUUUAGCAAAAACACAGGUCUCUGCGAAACCGAAAGGUGAAGUAUAGGGGCUGACGCCUGCCCGGUGCUGGAAGGUUAAGGGGAAUGGUUAGACGUUAAGUCGAAGCUAGGAACUUAAGCCCCAGUAAACGGCGGCCGUAACUAUAACGGUCCUAAGGUAGCGAAAUUCCUUGUCGGGUAAGUUCCGACCCGCACGAAAGGCGUAACGAUUUGGGCACUGUCUCAACAACGCGCCCGGUGAAGUUGAAGUACUGGUAAAGAUGCCAGUUACCCGCGACAGGACGGAAAGACCCCAUGGAGCUUUACUCUAGCUUGAUAUUGGGACUUGAUACUGCAUGUACAGGAUAGGAGGGAGACUGAGAAACUAGCCCGUCAGGGUUGGUGGAGUCGAUGUUGGGAUACCUCCCUUGUAGUAUUAGGUUUCUAACCUCGUGCCGUAAGCCGGUACAGGGACAGUGUCAGGUGGGGAGUUUGACUGGGGCGGUCGCCUCCGAAAGGGUAUCGGAGGCGCUCAAAGGUCAUCUCAGAAUGGUUAGGAAUCAUUCGCAGAGUGUAAAGGCAGAAGAUGGCUUGACUGUGACACCAACAAGUGGAGCAGGUACGAAAGUAGGACUUAGUGAUCCGGUGGUAAGAAAGUGGGAUUGCCAUCGCUCAACGGAUAAAAGCUACCCUGGGGAUAACAGGCU